rnacentral:rRNA from 1 species
CGUGUAGGCGGCUUGUUAAGUUAGGUGCGAAAGACCAUGGCUCAACCAUGGAAUUGUACUUAAAACUGGCAGGCUUGAGUAUAGGAGAGGAGAGUGGAAUUCCCAGUGUAGCGGUGAAAUGCGUAGAUAUUGGGAGGAACACCGGUGGCGAAGGCGGCUCUCUGGACUAAUACUGACGCUGAGGCGCGAAAGCCGAGGGGGAGCGAACG